AUUGAACGCUGGCGGCAGGCCUAACACAUGCAAGUCGAACGAGUGGCGGACGGGUGAGUAAUGUCUGGGAAACUGCCUGAUAGAGGGGGAUAACUACUGGAAACAGUAGCUAAUACCGCAUACCAUCAGAUGUGCCCAUAUGGGAUUAGCUCGUUGGUGGGGUAAAGGCUCACCAAGGCGACGAUCCCUAGCUGGUCUGAGAGGACGACCAGCCAGACUGGAACUGAGACACGGCCCAGACUCCUACGGGAGGCAGCAGUGGGGAAUAUUGCACAAUGGGGGAAAGCCUGAUGCAGCCAUGCCGCGUGUAUGAAGAAGGCCUUCGGGUUGUAAAGUACUUUCAGCGGGGAAGCGGUAUCUGCAGAAGAAGCACCGGCUAACUACGUGCCAGCAGCCGCGGUAAUAC
rnacentral:rRNA from 1 species